AGAUGUUGGAAAUAUAUCAGCACUCAAUGAAUACCAUAUAUUGUAAGUUGGAUUCAAGAUUUACCACUUUAAUCACCACAAACUGAAGGAGAUUUUCCACUCUCAGGAAGAACAUUAUCAGUGUUUCAUAAUGAUGCUCAUUAUGUAGAUCUGGUAUAAAGGGCACAGUUUAAUUUAUGGUGCCAUUCUUGCAGUCAGUGAGUGAGUGAGUGAGUGAGUGAUGAGUGAAUGCUUUAACCAUUAGGCUACCAGACCGCCCAUCCAUUCUUGCAAUCGAAGACUGAAAUUUGUUUUUAUCACACUGGAUCAUGUUAUUUUCAAUUUUAAAAUAGCAGUUUGGAUUUCCUUACACUGUGUGUGCAAGAGUAUAUGAGAAGCUUGUUGAUGUCUACUAUUUCUAGGUCUCAGGAAAGGGAUACAUCAGUGAUCCUAUUCAAGUGCACUAUCGUCAGUGGCUCCAGUUAACUAGUAUGUAGAUUGAUGCUGAUGACGUCAAUCAUAGGCUUGUCUGGUCCAGACUCAAUUAUUUAUA